rfam:Blastomyces gilchristii SLH14081 genomic scaffold supercont1.27, whole genome shotgun sequence.
GCCAGCGUGACUCAGUUGAUAAGACUGAUAAUCAAUGUCACACACAUUAGAGAUGCGUGGGUUCAAAUCCCAUCACUGGCA